rnacentral:rRNA from 1 species
AUGCAUAAUGGGCGAAAGGUCUGUGGUGGGAAAGAUUUUUCGGUUGGGGAUGGGCUCGCGGCCUAUCAGCUUGUUGGUGAGGUAGUGGCUCACCAAGGCGUCGACGGGUAGCCGGCCUGAGAGGGUGACCGGCCACACUGGGACUGAGACACGGCCCAGACUCCUACGGGAGGCAGCAGUGGGGAAUAUUGCACAAUGGGCGGAAGCCUGAUGCAGCAACGCCGCGUGAGGGAUGACGGCCUUCGGGUUGUAAACCUCUUUUAGCAGGGAAGAAGCGUAAGUGACGGUACCUGCAGAAAAAGCGCCGGCUAACUACGUGCCAGCAGCCGCGGUAAUACGUAGGGCGCAAGCGUUAUCCGGAAUUAUUGGGCGUAAAGAGCUCGUAGGCGGUUUGUCGCGUCUGCUGUGAAAACCCGAGAGCUCAACCUCGGGCCUGCAGUGGGUACGGGCAGACUAGAGUGCGGUAGGGGAGAUUGGAAUUCCUGGUGUAGCGGUGGAAUGCGCAGAUAUCAGGAGGAACACCGAUGGCGAAGGCAGAUCUCUGGGCCGUUACUGACGCUGAGGAGCGAAAGGGUGGGGAGCAAACAGGCUUAGAUACCCUGGUAGUCCACCCCGUAAACGUUGGGAACUAGUUGUGGGGGCCUUUCCACGGUCUCCGUGACGCAGCUAACGCAUUAAGUUCCCCGCCUGGGGAGUACGGCCGCAAGGCUAAAACUCAAAGGAAUUGACGGGGACCCGCACAAGCGGCGGAGCAUGCGGAUUAAUUCGAUGCAACGCGAAGAACCUUACCAAGGCUUGACAUACACCGGAAACGUCUGGAAACAGUCGCCCCUUUUUGGUCGGUGUACAGGUGGUGCAUGGUUGUCGUCAGCUCGUGUCGUGAGAUGUUGGGUUAAGUCCCGCAACGAGCGCAACCCUCGUUCUAUGUUGCCAGCACGUUAUGGUGGGAACUCAUGGGAUACUGCCGGGGUCAACUCGGAGGAAGGUGGGGAUGACGUCAAAUCAUCAUGCCCCUUAUGUCUUGGGCUUCACGCAUGCUACAAUGGCCGGUACAAAGGGUUGCAAUACCGUGAGGUGGAGCGAAUCCCAAAAAGCUGGUCCCAGUUCGGA